rnacentral:rRNA from 1 species
UACAGAGGUCCCAAGCGUUGUUCGGAAUCAUUGGGCGUAAAGGGCGCGUAGGUGGCCCGGUCAGUUCGUGGUGAAAGCGCGGGGCUCAACCCUGCGUCGGCCAUGAAUACUGCCGCGGCUGGAGCACUGUAGAGGCAGGCGGAAUUCCGGGUGUAGCGGUGGAAUGCGUAGAUAUCGUGAGGAACACCAGAGGCGAAGGCGGCUACCUGGACAAUUGCUGACGCUCAGGCACGAAAGCGUGGGGAGCAAAAGGG